AUUUACUCGUCUGUUUCAGGUGAGAUUGAUGUGGUAAUUUUGAUGGCACAUUUCAGUAAAUGCUAAUCCUGCACAAAGAUUGACUCAUUUUUAUGGCUUGUCCCAAAAUUUCGGCACUUGCAUAUUGCAUUAUGGAAUAUGCAUCCAUUAUUCAAAGAAAGGGCGACAUUCCAAGCACUCACACUUUCUCUCCUUGCUUGCUAAAUUGGCUGACAAGCUAAAGAAGUUAGUGGAGGAUGAAAUUCAUUUUCUCAAGGGAAGGGUUUUAGAACUUGAAAGUGAUCUUAUGUCAAAGUCCACAAAAGUUACAUCUGCAGUUUCAAGGAAAGAAGAAGCUCUAUCUUCUGCAUUUGCUGAAAUUGACCGUCUGAAAGAAGAAAAUUCUAUAAAAACGUGAGCAUUAUUGAAUGCAUAUGGAGAGUGUUUAUUGUGUUGGAGUGUAUUUAUUUCUUGCACAUGAGGGCACGCCUUAGUUGUAAUUCUUAUGAUAGGUUGAGCAAAGUGAAGUAUUGUUUAUUUAGAAAUGUGAAUGUAGGAUGCAUUGUAUGAUUUGAUUGCUAUUUGUAAUAAAUGCAUCAUUUUUUU